rnacentral:lncRNA from 10 species
GCAAGGAUGGUUCAACAUAUCAAAAUCAAUAAAUGUCAUAUGCUACAUUAACAGAAUGAAGGAUAAAAAUCGUGAUCAUUUCAAUAAAUGCAGAAAAAGCAUUUUUCAUGAUUAAAAAAAAACUCUCAACAAAUUAGGUAUAGAGGGAAUGGACCUCAAAACAAUAAAGGCCAUAUAUGACAAGCCCACAGGUAACAUCAUUUAUAAUGGUGAAAAGUUAGGAACAAAAUAAAGAUGCCCACUCUCGACAUGGUACUAGAAGUCCUAGUCAGAGCACUUAGGCAAAAGAAAAACAAAAAAAGGCAUCCAAGUCAGAAAGAAAGAAGUAAAAUUGUCUGUCUUUGCAAGUCACAUGUCUUAUAUAUAGAAAACCAUAGGCCAGGCACGGUAGCUCAUGCAUGUAAUCCUAGCACUUUGGGAGGCCUAGGUGGGUGGAUUGCCUGAGCUCAGUAGUUUGAGACCAGCCUGGGCACCGAUGGUGAAACCCCAUCUCUACUAAAAUACAAAAAAAAAAAAAAAAAAAAAGAAAAAAAAAAAGAGCCGGGCAUGGCAGCAUGCGCCUGUAGUCCCAGCUAUAUGGGAAGCUGAGGCAGGAGAAUUGCUUUAACCCGUGAGGCGGAGGUUGCAGUGAGCCGAGAUGGUGCCACUGCACUCCAGCCUGGCAACAGAGUAAGACUCCGUCUCAAAAACAAACAAACAAACAAACAAACAAAAAAAACCAUAAAGAUUCCACCAAAAACUGUUUGAACUAAUUUUAAAAAUUCGGUAAAUUUGCAGAAUAUGAAACCAACAUACAAAAAUGAGUUGUUGCUAUACACUGACAACAAACUAUCCAAUAGAAUUUAAAAACAAUCCCCUUAACAAUAACAUCAAAAAGAAUAAAAUUAUGAGGUAUAAAUUUAACCAAGAGGGUGAAAAAUCUACACUGAAAGCUGUAAAACACUGAUGAAAGAUAUUAAAGUAGACACAAAUACAGAGAAACAUACUCCCUUUUCACAGAUUGUAAAAAUUAAUACUGUUAAAAUAUUCACACUACUCAAACUGAUCUACAUAUUCAAUGCAUUCCUUAUCAAAAUUCCAAUGGCAUUUUUCACAGAAAUAGGAAAAACUAUCCUAAAAUUAAUAUGGAACCACAAAAGACCACUAAUAGCCAAAGAGAUAUUGAGCAAGAAGAACAAAACUAGAGGCAUCACAAUUCCUAUUUCAAAUUACAUUGCAAAUCUAUAAUAAUCAUAAAGUAUGGUAGUAGCAUAAAAACAGAUAUAUAGACCAACGGAACAGAAUGGAGCGCCAAGAAAUAAACCUAUGCAUAUACAGUCAACUAAUUUUUUGACAACGGCAGUGAGAAUACACAAUGGAGAAAGGACAGUCUCUUCAAGAAAUGAUGUUGGAAUAUAUAUAUAUAUAUAUAUAUAUAUAUAUGGAUGUAUAUAUGCAAAAUGAAGAUCUUAUUUUACACAAUACAUAAAAAUCAAUUCAAAAUAGAUUGAAGACUUAAAUAUAAGACCUGAAACUGUAAAACUGGUAGAAGAAAAUGUAAGGGAAAAGUGUCUUCACAUUGGUCUUGACAAUGAUUUUUUUGGAUUUGACACUGAAAGCACAGGCAAUGAAAGCAAAAAUAAAUAAGUGGGAUUACCUCAAACCAAAAAACUUCUACACGGCAAAGGAAAUCAAUCAC